UGGGGAAUAUUGCACAAUGGGCGCAAGCCUGAUGCAGCCAUGCCGCGUGUGUGAAGAAGGCCUUCGGGUUGUAAAGCACUUUCAGCGAGGAGGAAGGGUAGUGUGUUAAUAGCACAUUGCAUUGACGUUACUCGCAGAAGAAGCACCGGCUAACUCCGUGCCAGCAGCCGCGGUAAUACGGAGGGUGCAAGCGUUAAUCGGAAUUACUGGGCGUAAAGCGCACGCAGGCGGUUUGUUAAGUCAGAUGUGAAAUCCCCGCGCUUAACGUGGGAACUGCAUUUGAAACUGGCAAGCUAGAGUCUUGUAGAGGGGGGUAGAAUUCCAGGUGUAGCGGUGAAAUGCGUAGAGAUCUGGAGGAAUACCGGUGGCGAAGGCGGCCCCCUGGACAGAGACUGACGCUCAGGUGCGAAAGCGUGGGGAGCAAACA
rnacentral:rRNA from 1 species